AAGCAGAUCAAGUUAAAAUUUGACCGGUUAAAAAGAAGGUUAAAGAAAAUUUUUGAAGGAAAAAGGUUAGUAAUUAGGUUAAAUUUUUAUUAAUUUUAUUUUUAAUGCUUUCUAGGGCUUGAGGCCUUGAAAAUUUGGGCAGAAACUCGGAUUAGAUACCCGACUAUUCCAAAACGUAAAACUUGAUUAAUAUUUACCCGGGUAUUACGAGUGUAGAUUUACUUAAAACUUAAAAAACUUGGCGGUGCUUUAUUUCUGUCUAGGGGAACCUGCCCCGUAAUUCGAUAGUCCGCGUUUGAACUUACCUUACUUUGAAAUUAAUCUUGUUAGAUUAUGUACAGUUAGUAUACCGUCGUUGUCAGGCAAUCCUUUAGGGGCACGAAGUAGCCGGGAAGAAUUACAUACUUCUUUGUAUAAUUCUCGAUUUCAGAUCGAGGUGCAGCUGACAGUAGGGUGGAGGUGGGUUACUAUAAUUAAAUUUUUGGAUUUAGCAUUGUGAAAUGCUUAUGAAAUUGGACUUAGUAGUAAUUGGGAUAGUUAGAAUAUUCUAGUGAAGCAGUGCUCUGAAGUGUGCACAAAUCGCCCGUCGCUCU
rnacentral:rRNA from 1 species